ACUUCCACUCCGCAGAGUGCAGACGAGAAUUUGUGUAAACAAACGGAAAAAUCCUAGAACUUGUAAAGAAACGUGGAAGGAUGUCAGAAUUGUUGGUAUUGUUUGAAAAUGUUGUAACGAAACAAGUGCUGCAAUUCCUUCAAACUUAAAUUAACGCCUGGGUUUGGCCUGAACACCAAAUCUUUCGCACUCACUAGAGCCAUUCUUCAGGGAUUCGAAGAAAUGGAAUACCCCCAUUAUUCGCCCAGCAUUUUAGCUGAUCAGGACGGCGAAGCAUCUCUGCUGGACAAGAAUGUUGACUUGUCAUCUUCUUAGUUUAGGAACCAAUGUCCUCUAUCCCAGUUUCUUCGUCUUAUCACAAUUUCUUCGUGGCUUGAGUAUUCACCAUUCAGGCUCCAUUAAGCAAACACUCGUUCGUGAUUGGAGCAGUGGCCAUAAGGAAACAAGGACAACACUCAGGAACUUUCAAAGCUCUGCUUGUACCAAUGCUAAUUCUGCUACCCAUUACGUCGUCAGAAAUAACAGCUGCCCUGUCCCUUGCUGGAAUUUUCAAUUUUGACCAGCGGUUUCGGAAACUUAAGGCGAAGAAUUCUUACUGAGCGACCCGUUUGUGGAUGAGUGGCCUGUUCGCGGAUGCAAUCCAGUCCAGGAAACCUAUUUAACCCGAGGGGAUCUUCGAUUCUGCCCCUCCAACCCUUUAUGUUAA